GUGUCAGCCGCCGCGGUAAAACGUAGGAGACAAACGUUAUCCGGAGUUACUGGGCGUAAAGGGCGUGCAGGCGGUUGAUUAAGUCUAGCGUGAAAGCUCCCGGCUAAACCGGGAGAGGUCGUUGGAGACUGAUUGACUAGAGGACGGUAGAGGCGAGUGGAAUUCCGGGUGUAGUGGUGAAAUGCGUAGAGAUCCGGAGGAACACCAGUGGCGAAGGCGACUCGCUGGGCCGUACCUGACGCUAAGACGCGACAGCAUGGGGAGCGAACGGGAUUAGAAACCCCCGUAGUCC
rnacentral:rRNA from 1 species